rnacentral:rRNA from 1 species
GACGAACGCUGGCGGCGUGCUUAACACAUGCAAGUCGAGCGGUAAGGCCUCUUCGGAGGUACACGAGCGGCGAACGGGUGAGUAACACGUGGGUGACCUGCCCUCAGCUCUGGGAUAAGCCCGGGAAACUGGGUCUAAUACCGGAUACGACUUUUCCUCGCAUGGGGAGUUUGUGGAAAGCCCUGGUCUUCAUCGGUUGGGGUGGGCUGGGGAGUGGGCCCGGCGGCCUAUCAGCUUGUUGGUGGGGUGAUGGCCUACCAAGGCGACGACGGGUAGCCGG